AGUGAACGCUGGCGGUAGGCCUAACACAUGCAAGUCGAGCGGCAGCACAGUAAGAGCUUGCUCUUACGGGUGGCGAGUGGCGGACGGGUGAGGAAUACAUCGGAAUCUACUUUUUCGUGGGGGAUAACGUAGGGAAACUUACGCUAAUACCGCAUACGACCUACGGGUGAAAGCAGGGGAUCUUCGGACCUUGCGCGAUUGAAUGAGCCGAUGUCGGAUUAGCUAGUUGGCGGGGUAAAGGCCCACCAAGGCGACGAUCCGUAGCUGGUCUGAGAGGAUGAUCAGCCACACUGGAACUGAGACACGGUCCAGACUCCUACGGGAGGCAGCAGUGGGGAAUAUUGGACAAUGGGCGCAAGCCUGAUCCAGCCAUACCGCGUAGGUGAAGAAGGCCUUCGGGUUGUAAAGCCCUUUUGUUGGGAAAGAAAAGCAGCAGGUUAAUACCCCGCUGUUCUGACGGUACCCAAAGAAUAAGCACCGGCUAACUUCGUG
rnacentral:rRNA from 1 species